rnacentral:rRNA from 1 species
UACGAAGGGGGCUAGCGUUGCUCGGAAUUACUGGGCGUAAAGGGCGCGUAGGCGGCCCCUUUUGUCGCGUGUGAAAGCCCCGGGCUCAACCUGGGAACGGCGCGCGAAACGGGGGGGGCUUGAGUUCGGGAGAGGAGAGUGGAAUUCCCAGUGUAGAGGUGAAAUUCGUAGAUAUUGGGAAGAACACCGGUGGCGAAGGCAGCUCUCUGGGACGGUACUGACGCUGAGACGCGAAAGCGUGGGGAGCGAACAGG